CUAUAGGAGUCCACAUGCAAAGGGGGCAGAGAGAGGGUCUAGGAAUGAAAGGUGGUCCCCAGCUGGCAAAAUAAUAGGGAGAGCAGUCUUGCAACAGCAAGAAACUAGGUUCUGCCGACAAUCUGAAUGGGCCUGGAAGUGGAUUCUUCCCAUGACCAACCAAUUAGAGCCACCUGGACAACACCUUGACUUUCACCCUGGCAAGACCCUGGGUGGAGAAAACCAGUCCAGCUGUCUGGACCCUGGACCUGUAAAGCUGUGAGAUCUUAGAGCACUGUUUACAAAAACCAAGACAUGGGAGCAACCUGAAUGUCCAUCGACAGAUGAGCGGACAAAGACGAUGCGGUACACAUACACAGUGGAAUACUACUCAUCCCUAAAAAAGUAAUGCCGUUGGCAGCGACGUGGAUUGCUAGAGAUUAUCAUACUAAGUGAAGCUUCAGCUGGUUGCAGUCAGUGUGGGCUACUCUUCCUCGUGGCACGUGGGCUUCUCACCGCAGCGGCAUCUCAGGGCCUCAGUAGCUGUGGCACACAGGCUUAGUGGCACCUGGCAUGUGCAACCUUCCUGGACCAGAGAUGGAACCCAUGUCCCUUGCAUUGACAGGGACCUCCAUCCCACGGUGCCUGCCCUGGAGAACAGGGCUGCCUCCUGGAAGGUCAAGUUCAAAGGUGGUCUUCUAUGUGCCAGUUUCCUGGAGGUCACAAUGGUUAGCUUGAGCCAGCCUGUUUCUGGAAGUACAGCUGUUCCUCUUACCUGUGUGUACCAUUUCUUCCCCUGUCUACAACGAAAGUUUUCUUUUAGGAUCCUGGGUUCUAUGU
ensembl:lncRNA